UGUUCCUUCUUAUAUUUAUUCUCAGAAAGCACCAUCAUGUGGAAGACCACCUCAAAGAGGAGAUGUCUCCAGCCCCCAACAGAGAGACCAUGUGAUGAGCCUCCUGUGACAGAUUCUGACACCGAAGCCUACAUCAAACUCAACCCCAUACUCAGAGCACACAUUCAGAAGUUGCUGAAACUCAACAGCGCCGGGGGACAUGGGCCUAAUAGCCAGAUCAUCAAAUGGUUGAAAACGGUGCAUGUGUUUUAUUGUCUGUGUCUACAUCUCGUCAUACAUCCAGUGUGUUUUGUUUUUUUAACAGACGUGUUUUCACAAUGACACUCUGUGAAUUUACUUUUGAACAAAGUGUCUUGUGUAUAAAAUGGUGUGCAGACA